UUUCUCCGCUGAUGUUUUUGCACUGGGCUCCGAGUUUUCGUGACGAGGACGUGCAUCUUCGGCCUGACAAGCCGGAGUUUCUGAGGAGAGA
ensembl:snoRNA